UACGGGGGGGAGCAAGCGUUGUUCGGAUUUACUGGGCGUAAAGGGCGCGUAGGCGGCGUGACAAGUCUACUUGAUGAAUCGUCCGGCUUAACUCGGAACGGUCAAGUGAUACUGUCGUGCUAGAGUACAGAAGGGGGCAACUGGAAUUCUCGGUGUAGCGGUGAAAAUGCGUAGAUAUCGAGAGGAACACCUGCGGCGAAGGCGGGUUGCUGGGCUGAUACUGACGCUGAGGCGCGAAAGCUAGGGGAGCGAACGGG
rnacentral:rRNA from 1 species